AUGCUCCUUCUCGCUGCCAUCUUGAUGUUCGUCGUCGGUGUUGUCAAAUAUGGCGAGAGGACAUGGGCGCUCAGGUGCGGCAACAUGGACAUCAUCCGGGGCUCCCUCAAGAAGAAACCACCUUCCAGAUGUGACCUUCUUUACCUUGAGUAUGAGCUCCCAAAAGGUGGAUGCAAGGGUAGUGUCGAUGAAGAAGAAUUCCUCAUGCGGCAUGCUCAUUCCCUGUUUCAGUUCUGCAAGCGCGCAAUAGUUGAAUCGUCAGAGGACAGGGACCCGGCCAACCCUGAAAUCAAAGUUCUUGACCACCUCACACAUGAACAGUGGUAUGUGGUGAUGGAGUUGGAGCUGUCACUGCUCUACGACAUCCUGUACACAAAGGCAGGCGUGGUGCACACCUCAUUUGGUUACUGUGUCUGUAUUGCCUCACCAGCCGCUGCUGCAGCAGCGCUGUUGUUCUUCCAGUUCAGUGGCAAAGAUGGUAACAGCAGAGUAGAUGUUGCUAUCACCUACAUCUUACUGGGUGACCUCGGCGACCUGCACUAUCUUCGGAUGGUCAUCAAGGAGACGCUAAGGUUGCACCCCUCUGUGUCACUGAUACACAGGGCGGCCAUGGAGGAUUGCCAAGUGAUGGGCUACCACAUACCCAAGGGCACCUCCGUCAUGAUAAACGCCUUCGCGGUUGGCACGGACCCGACACACUGGGGUGAGGAUGCCGCGGAGUUCAGGCUGGAGAGGUUUGAGGAGAUGAGUGUGGAGUACUUCAAGCAAGGGCCACAGAUGGAGUUCAUCCCGUUCGGAGCUGGUCGUAGGCAGUGCCCUGGAGCCUUGUUCGCGAGCACGACGAUGGAGCUUGUGCUGGCAAACCUCCUGUACCACUUUGACUGGGCGAUUCCGUGUGGGGCGGGCCCAGAGACACUGGACAUGGGCGAGGUGUUUGGGAUCGUCCAUCGUCGUGCAAACUAG
rnacentral:rRNA from 1 species